rnacentral:rRNA from 1 species
AUUGAACGCUGGCGGCAGGCCUAACACAUGCAAGUCGAGCGGAGCGGCAGACGGGUGAGUAAUGCCGAGGAAUCUGCCUGGUAGUGGGGGAUAACGUCCGGAAACGGGCGCUAAUACCGCAUACUAUCAGAUGAGCCUAGGUCGGAUUAGCGAGUGGGUGGGGUAAAGGCCUACCAAGGCGAAGAUCCGUAGCUGGUCUGAGAGGAUGAUCAGUCACACGGGAACUGAGACACGGUCCAGACUCCUACGGGAGGCAGCAGUGGGGAAUAUUGGACAAUGGGCGAAAGCCUGAUCCAGCCAUGCCGCGUGUGUGAAGAAGGUCUUCGGAUUGUAAAGCACUUUAAGUUGGGAGGCGUUACCAACAGAAUAAGCACCGGCUAACUUCGUGCCAGCAGCCGCGGUAAUUC